rnacentral:tRNA from 1 species
GCCCUAAUGGACAAGACACUGGCCUCUGAAGCCAGGGAUUGUGGGUUCAAGUCCCAUUUGGGGUG